CAGGAGAAUAAUGAAAUCAUCAUCUAAAAAUUUCUUCAUAAACAUACAAUGAUCAGAUAUGGUUCUAGGAUGGGUGAUCCCAUGGGAAGUCCUCAUGUUGCACUCCUUUUUGUGCCCCGAGCAGCCAAAACCUCUUCUGUCGACCUCCGAGGGGAUGGUUUUGGGCCUUGGAAUUUGCCGUGACCGCUACGCGGUCAGUCUUGUGGGGCUCGGAGAGAGCUUUUCGGAAUGGGGCCGUAAUAGUGAGUCCGAGUUCGUUCGAAAAAGUCCUAAUGGUUUCGGCGUGCGCUUGCCAUGUCCGGUAUGCGGUCGGCCUCGUGGGCUUCGGAGAGAUCCGACAAUAACGAUUCCGAGAUCGUUCAAGAGGUUUCGAGGCGCACAAUGGGCUCCGGUCGUCGAUACGCCGUCUAUGACGUGCACAAAGGCGAGGGACGACGCAUAAAAAAUGAGUGCGAUCAUACCAGCACUAAAGCAUCGGAUCCCAUCAGAACUCUGAAGUUAAGCAUGCUUGGGCAAGAGUAGUACUAGGAUGGGUGACCCCUUGGGAAGUCCUCGUGUUGCACUCCUUUUUGCGCCCUGAGCGACCAAAACCUCUCCCGUCGACCUCCGAGGCGAUGGUUUUGGGCCUCGAAAUUUGCCGUGACCGAUCGAGAAUGUCCCGAUGGUUUCAGUGCGCACUUGCCGUGUCCGGUACGCGGUCGGCCUCAUGGGCAUUGGAGAGAUCCGACAAUUGCGAUUUCGAGAUCGUUCAAGAGGUUUCGAGGCGCGCAAUGAGCUACGGUCGUCGAUACGCCAUCCACGACGUGCACAAAGGCGUGGGACGACGCAAACAAAACGAGUGUGAUCAUACCAGCACUAAAGCACCGGAUCCCAUCAGAACUCUGAAGUUAAGCUUGCUUGGUCGAGAGUAGUAUUAGGAUGGGUGACCCCUUGGGAAGUCCUCGUGUUGCACUCCUUUUUACGCCCCGAGCGACCAAAACCUCUCCCGUCGACCUCCGAGGCGAUGGUUUUGGGCCUCAGAAUUUACCGUGACCGCUACGCUGUCAGUCUCGUGGGGCUCGGAGAGAGCUUUCCGGAAUGGGGCCGCAAUAGCGAUUCCGAGUUCGUUCGAGAAAGUCCCGAUGGUUUCGGCGCGCGCUUGUCGUUUCCGGUACGCGGUAGGGCUCGUGGGCAUCGGAGAGAUCCGACAAUGGCGAUUCCAAUAUCGUUCGAGAGGUUUCGGGGCGCACAAUGGGCUCCGGUCGUCGAUACGCCGUCCGCGACGUGCACAAAGGCGAGGGACGACGCACACAAAACGAGUGCGAUCAUACCAGCACUAAAGCACCGGAUCCCAUCAGAACUCCGAAGUUAAGGGUGCUCGGGCGAGAGUAGUACAAGGAUGGGUGACCCCCUGGGAAGUCCUCGUGUUGCACUCCUUUUUGCGCCCCGAGCGGCCAAAACCUCUCCCGUCGACCUCCGAGGCGAUGGUUUUGGGCCUCUUUAUUUGCCGUGACAGCUAUGCUGUCAGUCUCGUGGGGCUCGGAGAGAGCUUUCCGGAAUGGGGCCGCAAUAGCGAUUCUGAGUUCGUUCAAGAAUGUCCCGAUGGUUUCGGCGCGCGCUUGCCGUGUCCGGUACGCGGUCGGCCUCCUAGGCAUCGGAGAGAUCCGACAAUGGCGAUUCCGAGAUCGUUCGAGAGGUUUCGGGGCGCGCAAUGGGCUCCGGUCGUCGAUACGCCAUUCGCGACGUGCACAAAGACGAGGGACGACGCACACAAAACGAGUGCGAUCAUACCAGCACUAAAGCACCGGAUCCCAUCAGAACUCCGAAGUUAAGCGUGCAUGGGUGAGAGUAGU
rnacentral:lncRNA from 1 species